GUUGGUUUUUGUUUUUGUGAAAAAUAUUUGUGGUUCUUUGAAGGUUUUCCCUUGCAACAGGUCGUUCAUUUGGUCACUGUAUUUACUGUUGGUGGCAGUGAUACUGACAGAGGCAUCCAUGGUUGGAAUACAUAUAGUAGAGUACUUUUCCAGUCUUCUGUGAAAAAUAUCUCUGACCAUAGGAAAAUAAUAGGUAUGGUUUGAUGACAGGAAAGGCAUCAAGCCUUAGAAAAUCUGGCACAGUUUGCCAACACUGAAAGAUAGAACCAAUGGUGGAGUCUGUUGAAGAAUCUUUUCAGUUCAGUUUCAAACACCAUUAAAAUUCCUUUUGAUAUGACAUUAGAUUUAGUUCCAGGUUUUUUGCAACUGGAGUAUUUAUAAAAUACUGUAAGUAUAAAUAAAAUUUUGGUAUCCAAAUUUGAAAUUUUAUCUAUUUUGGAAUUUUAUAAAUUCUUCUGCUGAUAUUAAAAUAUUUUCCACUUCUGAGGAAAUUCUACAUUGAAAAUUUCUACUGCCGACUGAUAUGAAUGAACAUUUUUAUUGACAUGGAAUUUGCUCAAGAAUCAUUUGCAUGCAAGGCCUGUUGAUAACGACAACAAUCUUGCAAACCUACAAUGAAUUGAAUUGAUAGUCCCAUCUAAUAUAUCUCAGUUUUGUGAAGUAAAACAGAGUCAACAUUAUUAAGAUUCAAGAUUUCCCACAGCAGAUAAAAUACUGAUACAAGAAAUGAAGAAGAUAUGCAGUCGUUGUGGCCAUAUUUGUAGAACACUGAUUUAGACUUUGGCAACUUUCUACAUGUUGCAGGAGCUUUUGAAUGGAAAGUUCAGAUGGAAUCAGAAGCUUAUUACAGAAUAUGAAAACACCAACAAGUAAGUAACACCAGCCGACAUUUUCAAAGGAAACUCACUCAAUGUCACUUCUCAAUUUAUGACAAUAAUUUAGAAUAGAGAAGUUGUCCAUUGUACUUCUUACGUGUCCAAAUGUUGUGUUUGUAUUUGUUAUGGGGCUGUGCAUUGCUCACUAGAAUUUAAUAAAGUAAUUGCAACAAAUACGCAAAUAUAUAUAUACCUUGUUAAUUUCACAUGACUUGCUUGUUAUUAGUUAUAUUUUGUCUUUUGUUUGCUUCACUUAUUGAACUGCAGCCAAGCUGGAGUACCACCUUGAAGGGUUUAGUUGAAUAAAUCAACCCAGUCCUUAUGUUUAAGCCUCAAACUUAUGCUAUCAGUUUCUCUUGCCAAACCACUAGAUCAUGGGGAUGUAAACAAACCAGCACCAGUUGUUGCAUGCUGGCAGAGGACAACACACAACUUGUAAUUGGUCAAGGAUAGCUUAUUUUCACAUUUACUGCUAACCUCUAUAUCUAAAGGUUAUUCCUCUAUCCACUAAUUAGAACCUGGUAGAAAUUCCCUCUCCCAAUUUUAUCCAUAUACAGAUGGGGGGAGACUGGAUGCUAGCCUGCUUGUCUUGCAAAUGUUAUGUGUGGUCUUGAUGGAUGGCAUGAUGGACUGAGACAAAUCUAAGCAAGCUUGACUAAAUGGAGCCUAGCGAGUUGGAAGUCUUUUGACACAGCCACAAAUUAUCACAGCAAUAUACAAAUUAACAACAACAUUAAAUUAAUUAUCACAGCAAGACAGAAAAUAGCACAACAAUAAAUUUACACAGCCACAAAUUAUCACAGCAAUAUACAAAUUAACAACAACAUUAAAUUAAUUAUCACAGCAAGACAGAAAAUAGCACAACAAUAAAUUUACACAGCAACAAUUAGCACAGUAACAA
rnacentral:lncRNA from 1 species